GUGCUUUCCAUAAUUAAUUUUUUUUGUUUCAUUAUUGUUCUGUGGUUGUGUACUUCUGUACUAUGUGCUUUCUUUACUACCAGAAGCUAAAUUUAAUAUCGUUUUAUAAGCAACAAGAAUAUGACAGUACAUCAUAUAGAUCAGGAAACUGGGGAGUGAAGAAUAAUAAAAGAAAUGCAAUCUGAUCCUGCCAGCAGUGAAAGGGCGAGGUAAUUUACACACACUUGAGUAUUCUUGUGCUGAAGAGAAUGUGGGAAAUUGACGUAAACUAUUGUUAAG